AGAGUUUGAUCAUGGCUCAGAUUGAACGCUGGCGGCAUGCUUUACACAUGCAAGUCGAACGGCAGCACGGGAGCUUGCUCCUGGUGGCGAGUGGCGAACGGGUGAGUAAUAUAUCGGAACGUGUCCAAUAAUGGGGGAUAACUAGUCGAAAGACUAGCUAAUACCGCAUACGCCCUGAGGGGGAAAGUGGGGGAUCUUCGGACCUCACGUUAAUGGAGCGGCCGAUAUCUGAUUAGCUAGUUGGUGGGGUAAAGGCCCACCAAGGCGACGAUCAGUAGCUGGUCUGAGAGGACGACCAGCCACACUGGGACUGAGACACGGCCCAGACUCCUACGGGAGGCAGCAGUGGGGAAUUUUGGACAAUGGGGGCAACCCUGAUCCAGCCAUGCCGCGUGAGUGAAGAAGGCCUUCGGGUUGUAAAGCUCUUUCGCAAGGGAAGAAACGAUGCAGGUGAAUAACCUGCGUUAAUGACGGUACCUUGAUAAGAAGCACCGGCUAACUACGUGCCAGCAGCCGCGGUAAUACGUAGGGUGCGAGCGUUAAUCGGAAUUACUGGGCGUAAAGCGAGCGCAGGCGGUUCUGCAAGUCAGAUGUGAAAUCCCCGGGCUCAACCUGGGAACUGCGUUUGAAACUACAGAGCUAGAGUAUGGGAGAGGGAGGUAGAAUUCCACGUGUAGCAGUGAAAUGCGUAGAGAUGUGG
rnacentral:rRNA from 1 species